rnacentral:tRNA from 1 species
GCCGGGGUAGCUCAGUAGGUAGAGUGCUCGGCUGUUAACCGAGCGGUCAGAGGUUCGAGUCCUCUCCCCGGCGCCA